rnacentral:rRNA from 1 species
GAUGAACGCUGGCGGCGUGCCUAAUACAUGCAAGUCGAGCGAACAGACGAUGAGCUUGCUCCUCUGACGUUAGCGGCGGACGGGUGAGUAACACGUGGAUAACCUACCUAUAAGACUGGGAUAACUUCGGGAAACCGGAUCUACUACCGGAUAAUAUCUUCAACCGCAUGGUUCAAUAGUGAAAGACGGUUUUGCUGUCACUUAUAGACGGAUCCGCGCCGCAUUAGCUAGUUGGUAAGGUAACGGCUUACCAAGGCAACGAUGCGUAGCCGACCUGAGAGGGUGAUCGGCCACACUGGAACUGAGACACGGUCCAGACUCCUACGGGAGGCAGCAGUAGGGAAUCUUCCGCAAUGGGCGAAAGCUUGACGGAGCAACGCCGCGUGAGUGAUGAAGGUCUUCGGAUCGUAAAACUCUGUUAUUAGGGAAGAACAAAUGUGUAAGUAACUAUGCACGUCUUGACGGUACCUAAUCAGAAAGCCACGGCUAACUACGUG